rnacentral:lncRNA from 1 species
CUCUCUCUACACUUGCUAACCCUAAAAACGCUCUGUACAGAGCGUCUCUCUCUCUGACCUCUUCGUCGAAGAAGAGAGCGGCGGGCGGCCGUCUGUGGCGGCGCCGCCUCCAUCUCGCGGUGGUUCAACCACCCAAAACCCUACCCCACCUAAAUCGAGCCUUCUGAGUUUAAAUACAGGCUUGGAUUUACCGUCUGUGGCGGCGCCGCCUCCAUCUCGCGGUGGUUCAACCACCCAAAACCCUACCCCACCUAAAUCGAGCCUUCUGAGUUUAAAUACAGGCUUGGAUUUCGAAAAAAACAAAUCAUUCGUCCAGAUCUUGAGUCCUAAACGUAACCCUAAAUUCUAAUCAAAACAACAUCAACCACAAUUCAAAACAAACAAGAGCGAGGGCUUCACAUGCAUGAAGACCUAGUUAUGGAAGCAACGCGAGAAGAAGGAGAUGAGAAGAAAGGUAACCGACCUGGGGCUUGGUUCGACGACGACGCUUCCCACGAAAUCAGGUAUAUGAACUCCUUCAUAACUUCCUUCCUCUAUUUUUGUCUUUAGAUUUUUUGAGAAAUAAUAUUGUGUUGUUCUUGCUGUUGUGUUUGUUGUGUUCUUGCUGUUUUCUGUUGCGUUCUAGGAUUUUUCAGAAGAAUCGUUGUGUUAUGUUUAUGUUGUUCUUGCUGUUGUCGUCUACCGUUGUUGUUCUGGUUUUAGGGUUUUGAAAAAAAAUAGCUUUGUCGUACGGUUGUUGUUGUUAUUGUGGUUUUGGUUUUUGAGAAGAUCUCUUACUGUGUUGUGUCUCUCCCUGUUAACCUCUCCUAAUUCGUUUAUGAAGACCAGAUCCAGUCUUUAAGAAACUCCUCCCUUUUUGAAUUUCUCAUCACAGAUUAUGUGGGAUUUAGUUUGUUCUGUUUUAAGCUAAUGUCAAAAGUGCUUUUUGGAUGUUUAGGUUAACCUUAUGGAUAAAGUUUUAAUCUGAGCAAUUUUUUAGUUGUUUUUGAGUUCUCUAAGUGCUUUUGAAAAGUGCUUUUUAAAUAAGUUGUUUUUGUUCUUGCAGAUUACAACUCUGAAGAGACUUUGAUGGAAUGGAAAAGUGGUUGUACGAAAGCAUACUUGGAGGCGCGCUGGUCUUGGGAGUUUUCAACCUAGCUACUUGGUUUUUGAUUAUUACGAACCUGUUUCCAUCUGGAUGAAUUUUUUCACUGUAAUUACUUAGUUUAGUUUUUUUAGACAAAAUGUGUGUUUGGAUUAUUUGGAACUUAUUGAAUUAAAUUUUAAUUAUGUAAUUACCUUUUAAGCUUUCAAAA